CAGUCGCCACGGUAAUACGUAGGGUGCGAGCGUUAAUCGGAAUUACUGGGCGUAAAGCGUGCGCAGGCGGUUGUGUAAGACAGGUGUGAAAUCCCCGGGCUUAACCUGGGAACUGCGCUUGUGACUGCACAGCUAGAGUAUGGCAGAGGGGGGUGGAAUUCCACGUGUAGCAGUGAAAUGCGUAGAGAUGUGGAGGAACACCGAUGGCGAAGGCAGCCCCCUGGGCCAACACUGACGCUCAUGCACGAAAGCGUGGGGAGCAAACAGGAUUAGAUACCCCUGUAGUCCCUGUCUCUUAUAC
rnacentral:rRNA from 1 species